CUUCCUUCCCUUUUCCCUCCUUCCGUUUGCUUUAUCUUCUGUACGCAUCAUGGCAAACAUUGAACGGUAAAAUCGAUCCCAGCUCAUGCCCCCUGCUCCUUCAUUCUCCAGCUCAAGGCUCAAGCCCAAGUACGGAGUAUAAAUUGAAGAUGCCGAAGAGGAACGGAUCCACCAUACCUCAUCUGACCUCACGGCGCCCCACUCUCUCUGGCCAUCUACGUCGUCAAGCCAUGAGGCCAGCCACGAAGGCUCCGAAGACUCGGGGCCACCAGCGAUACCACCUACGCUCUUGUCACGUAAGUCACCAUCAACAGACUGAUCGGAAGUUAUGGGGCAAUGGGCUAGAGGAUACUCUUAUAGAGAUGAUGCAUGAGGACGUUAUUAGUGGGAAAGUACGGGCGGGAAAGUUCAGCUGUAAAAAUCACGUGUUGUAUGCUCAACACCUUAGUACUCUGGGUUCAAAGCUAUUAAACGACGAACAAGUGAAGGGGAAAAUCAAGCGGCUGAAGAAGAGGCAUCUCAUGUUCACCGAUUUGAUGGGACAAACGGGUAUGGGAUGGGACCCUUAUACGAAAGCUGUGAUAGGCAGUGACGAGCAUUGGGCAAAUGCCAUCAGGGUGAAAAGUGACUGGAAGUAUUUCCGGAAUGCGGGCUGCCCACUAUACGCCGAGCUAUGCACGAUCUUUGGCGCGUCAGUUGCCACUGGCACACAAUCGAGAGUGCAUGAUUUUUCAAAUCCCAUUGACAUAUCCCGUCGCCCUGGUGAACAAAAGGGACAGGCCAACCCAUAUCCAGAAGACUUAUGCAGUUGUGUCGAGGAGGUGAAGAACAUGCCCGUUGCACGCCGCAAGUGCGAUGAGGGCAAGGCUAAGGCUUCCGCAUCAAAGCGGAGCAAGGGGAUUACGGACAGCGAUGGUGCCUUUGCUCCCUUUGGGUGUUGUGUCACUUUGCUGAUGGGGAUUAAGCCCAAGUUGUCGGAGGAUAAUUGGUUUCGUGCUUUUGCCGUGCUCCGUGAUUCACCUGAUGAGCGGCGGGGCUUUUUACAUAUGAAUGGGGAGUAUCGGCGAUUGUGGGCCAUGCAUUGUUGACUUCUAUAAUUUCGGUCUGCUCUAUGUUUUUAAUUGAAAACACCUGUUUCUUGUUUUUCCGUUGUUCUCUAUUUUUACUUGUUUAUGUGAUUUAUGUUUGUACUGUUGGUUGUUUUUUAUGACUGGUACCUGAAAAUUCUGGGGUGCUUUACUUCUAUUCUGGGGUGCUUUACUUCUAUUCUGUUGGUCUUUUGAGGUGCUGCUGUUGCUCUUCUUUAUGCACCAAAAGAUUUGUUUCUAAGCUGCCACACGUCAAAUGGUACAAUUAUGUGAUGGUUGAGUGGCACUAUAUUUAGUAUAAGAACUUAUCAAAAAAAUAAUAAUUCUGGAAUGGUGAAAGGGUUUCGAAGAUCUGGACUUUGAGGGUUGCCUUUGGGAAUCUCAUCAUACAAAGGACAUUGAGUUACUAGGCAUAACAAUUCUCCAUCUGUUCUCAAGGAACAUUCGACUGGAAAAGAUCAGUUUCUGACACAUCUGAGAAAGAAAGACUCAGGAUUUGCAGAGGAAGAGAGAGAGCAAUCCAAGCAGCCAAAACAUUGAAGCCUAAAAGUCCUUGUGCGUUUCUUGCGGCCCCAUAAUAUACGAAAAAGUUUUAUGGUGAGCCUCCACAUGAUGCAAUGCAAGUUAAUGUUCAAAUACUUUCUUGAAUAUGCUCUGAUGAGUUGCAGUUCUUCUUUGCCGUUACUGCACCUCCUAAAUUUGCUGCGAAAUAUUUUUCUCUGAACCAAAGUGUAGAACUUCAGACUUCUGAUAAUGGAAGACAAUGGCAUGCCAUGUGCUGUUACCAUAACAAGAGCUGUUCGUCAAUGAAGAUAACAAAGGGAUGGAGUGCAUUUGUCAGUGCAACAAUUUGAAAGAAGGUGAUGCCUUUGUCUUUGAGCUCAUCAAGAGGAUGCCUACUGUGCUUGAGCUCAUCAAGUUUUAAAGUAGAUGAAAAAGUUGACUUUUCCAACUUCCUUUAGAUGAUGAACUAGGGUCGAUUUCUUCAAAUCUCAUGAUUUAUGAUAAGAAAAACUUGGCCUAUCUCCUCUAUUGUGGCUUCUUAAUUGCGGAAGAUAAAACAAACAUUGGAAUGGAAGUCUUUCUGAUACCUUUGGAAAGCUAUCAACGCCAAUAUCCAUUUUUUUUUUUUUGAA